CCCCUAGUUAUUUCAACACAUUUAUAUGACACCCGAAUUUAAGGACAAAUCCGAAUGCAUCUUACAUGCGUGACAGGAUCAAGUAUCACACAUAUAAUGAUUCAGGGAAACGACGGUCUAGACCUCUUCGAACUCAUCUUCAUCAUUUUCCUUCGGUGGUAUCUGUUCUUGACCUGGUUUGAUUAUAGCAAGGGUGAGCUCUCAUACGAUCAUCGCUCAGCAAGUGUGGGUAAAAGUGUAGUGUAAGACUUACCAAUGAGAAUUGUUAUGGCUGAGCAUUGCUUUUAACUUUUGUUAGCCAAAAUUUUAUUAGAAAUUACUAAGGGAGUGUUUGAAUGCAUUAGAACUAAUAAUUAGUUGGCUUAAAAUUGUUAGUGGAAUUAGCUAACUAACAAAUAUCUACCUAACUAUUAACUAAUUUACUAAAAUUAGCUAAUAGUUGAACUAUUAGCUAGGGUAUUUGGAUGUCUGAACUAAUUUUAGUCGCUAACUAUUAGCUAUAGUGCAUUCAAACGCCCCUUAAGUAUAAGUAAAUACCAUCCCGAAUAAAUGAGAGAUCAUAAGUAAUAAAAAUUCCCAUAAUGCAAAUGCAUGACAGGUUAAGUUUAGUUCCAUCAUUUAAUCAUGUGAGUGUCUGAGCCGCUCUUGACCGUGAGCACGACUAAUACCAGUUUUACACUCUGCAGAGGUUGGACAUCCGUCUAGCCAGGGUUUGCAAGGCCCUUAGACACUUCCGAGGUAAAUGGCUAGGGAUCCACUGCGAGACCUUUAUAAAGUUCCGCUUGUUCGGAAAACCCCGCUAUGGUUUCAGGCAAAAGGGAGCAUAGUCCUUUUAUCCACGGUCUGUAACCCUAUCGCAGUAAUUACAGACAACACUAUGUUCUGCAGCGAUUCACUCUCUGCUUGCCCUUUCGGGUAAGGUAAUUUCUUACUAGUUUUCCUAAUUAAUUGGUCAAGGGCGUCCCAUUCCACCCUUGUGGUAGCAUAGUUUUCCCGGGUGGUUCUCUAUGUUCCAAUUAACAAAAUGAUCGUAUCAUGAACAAAUGAAUAAUUCAUUGACAAUUAAA